rnacentral:lncRNA from 1 species
GUCAACGAUCACAUCUCAGAGCACAUAUAGGAAUAAACAAGAAAUCUAAAGUCACUUGGUGUGACCCGCAGGUCGGAUCCCAGGGACCCAGGUACCAGAGGCAUCCCAGAUACCCCCAGCACCCAAGGGACCACAGACAGGGCCCAGACUCCCUCAUCGUCAUCGGGGAUAUCGUGCACGUCGUCAACAUCUUUUGCCACCCCGAUGACGACCACACCAGCAGCAACUAGACGGACAGCAGUGGCACGUCAUCGAUCGGGGGGCGACGCUUAUGAAUUGACACUGGACUGUUCAAGCCUGGUGUGGAAAGUGCUGGGAGCUGGUUAGACUGUAUAAGUGGAGGGGGCGUAUCACUCCCGCAUCUCACGUUUCAUCGGACGUAACAUCAAAACCAGCUUUGAGUGAAGAUCACUGAUCAGCCCGAAUUCCCAGCCUUGGCCUAUCUCGGAAGCUUGACCACUGUUGCGGAAAGAUGCAGGCUGUCAAUAACAGCAACAGCAGCAGCACCUACAAUGGCAGCAGAACACCAGAGACUCGCUCAGAGGCAGCUACAACAGCAGCAGCUACAGCC